rnacentral:rRNA from 1 species
GAUGAACGCUGGCGGCGUGCCUAACACAUGCAAGUCGAGCGGAAAGACGAUGAGCUUGCGCCUCUGACGUUAGCGGCUGGCGGGUGAGUAACACGUGUAUAACCUCCUUAUUUUUCGGGGAUCACUACGUGAAACCGGAUCUAAUACUAUAGAAUAUCUUGUACCGCAGGGAUCAAUGGAGAUUACCGGCUUUGGUGUCUCUAAUAGCGGGUUCCGCGCCGGAUUAGCUAGUUGGUAAGGUAACGGCUUACCAAGGCGACGAUGCGUAGCUGAGCUGAGAGGGUGAUCGGCCACACUGGAACUGAGACACGGUCCAGACUCCUACGGGAGGCAGCAGUAGGGAAUAUUAGGCAAUGGGCGAAAGCCUGACGCAGCCACGCCGCGUGAGUGAAGAAGGCCUUCGGAUCGUAAAGCCCUGUUAUUAGGGAAGAACAGCUGUAGAAGAAAACAUGGCCGUCUUGACGGUACCCAAUGAAAAAGCACCGGCUAACUACGUG